rnacentral:rRNA from 1 species
UAAUACAUGCAAGUCGAACGCGUCUCCGUUAAUGAUUUUAGGUGCUUGCACUUGAAAGAUUUAACAUUGAGACGAGUGGCGAACUGGUGAGUAACACGUGGGUAACCUGCCCUUGAAGUAGGGGAUAACACUUGGAAACAGGUGCUAAUACCGUAUAACAACCAAAACCACCUGGUUUUGGUUUAAAAGACGGCUUCGGCUGUCACUUUAGGAUGGACCCGCGGCGUAUUAGCUUGUUGGUAAGGUAACGGCCUACCAAGGCGAUGAUACGUAGCCGACCUGAGAGGGUAAUCGGCCACAUUGGGACUGAGACACGGCCCAAACUCCUACGGGAGGCAGCAGUAGGGAAUCUUCCACAAUGGACGAAAGUCUGAUGGAGCAACGCCGCGUGAGUGAUGAAGGGUUUCGGCUCGUAAAACUCUGUUGUUGGAGAAGAACAGGUGUCAGAGUAACUGUUGACAUCUUGACGGUAUCCAACCAGAAAGCCACGGCUAACUACGUGCCAGCAGCCGCGGUAAUACGUAGGUGGCAAGCGUUGUCCGGAUUUAUUGGGCGUAAAGCGAGCGCAGGCGGUUUUUUAGGUCUGAUGUGAAAGCCUUCGGCUUAACCGGAGAAGUGCAUCGGAAACCGGGAGACUUGAGUGCAGAAGAGGACAGUGGAACUCCAUGUGUAGCGGUGAAAUGCGUAGAUAUAUGGAAGAACACCAGUGGCGAAGGCGGCUGUCUGGUCUGUAACUGACGCUGAGGCUCGAAAGC